CGACCUCAGGUCAGGCGGGGCUACCCGCUGAGUUUAA
rnacentral:rRNA from 3 species